rnacentral:tmRNA from 1 species
UGGGGCUGAAACAGGAUCGACACACGUAGUAAAGGCAUCAUGCGGCGUUCGGCAAUCCGCCGUUACCGGAUGAUCGUUAUAAAUGCAAACGACAAUCAUGCAUUUGUAGCAGCCAACGACAACACCUUUGGUGAUGUUGCUGGUGAAACUAAAGCUGCUUAAUUGCCGCUUUGGUGCGCUACGCACUAAUCCCUAAGGCUUAAUGCGUCUUAGGUGGGGUCCGGGUCGAACCUCGCAACAGAAUCGGCCCAUU